UUUUUUGCCUGUUGACUUUUAAUACACUAUUUACUGUUAAAAUUUUUGUGACGUUGAGGUAGUGUAAAAUAGUUUUUUUGUUGUUGUAAAGGAUGACACCAGAUAGGGACAAUGAAUAUAAUGAUUAUACAAACUCUGGAUCGAUAGGACUGAUGCAACAACUAAACAUCUAUCUUUUAUGUAUAUACUUCAAAAAACAUACCUUCAUCUUUUGUUUGACCCAGAUUUCUUGUUUUCCAGACAAUGUAGCAAAGGGGCCAAAACAAAAGCAGGUAAGACCAUUAUAUUAAGAUAUUCUAACAAAGAGGCUUUGCAGGUGAUGAUUGAAGACUAAAUGGUCUGAUGGACAGUGACUGACCAACGACUUCAACUAGGGCGAUCUGAUGCAAAGUGGUCAAAGCCCAGGCAUUUUACUUCAUCUCUACAUUGGCUGUUAUAUUCAAUGGAGAAGAUACUGACUAUUUCAAUUCUGCCCCCAUCAGGACAUGCAUGAUACUGAAGAUAUUGUUAUUUUAGAUACUGCCAUGGCCAGGAUCCUCAAAGGCUAGUUCAAUGGAUUCAUUGCUUGAUGUUCCCUAUGAAUGUUGAAAAUUGUCCAAAACACAAGGUGGUCUUCUAAAGAUGUUGGUGUUUGCCCUGCGACAACAGUUUAACAGUUAUACUGGAAAGAUGUGAACAAAGUUGGUUUACAAGUGGCUCUGAACCACAACUUGCAUGUUGGUAAUAUGAUUGGUUGUAAGUCAUGUUGAAGAAUGAAGUUGAAAAAACGAAGAAUGUUAGGUCAAUUCCAGGCUUGUCAAAAUUCUGUUUUAUAUGUAGUCUAUACAAGCCUUCAAGUGUGACAAGAGGUUGCAACAUUAAUUACGCAUUGAAAAGAACAGAUGCACUGCUUCAAAACUGGCACAUGAAGGAAAACUGGUACAUCAAAAUGAUGAUUCUUGCCAUGAUCUUGGAUGCACAAAUAUUGGAUCGAUAAAGAAAAAUUUAGAUGAACUGCUACUCAAAAAUCUAAUUCGGAAUAUAUAACAUUACCAUUGUAGUUAUAAGGAAGAUAAAAAUGAUUUCACAGCAAGUGAAAUAAUAUGUAAACAUUUCAAUUUCAGAGCAUUCUCGUUUUGUGCCGGGAAUAAAUAAUAUUUCCCAGUGGAAAUUGUUGCUUGUGAUUUUUGCAUGCCUUAUUAUAUUAUAUAAUACUGUACUGUACUGUGACUGAUUAUUAAGCUUGCAAGUUUAAGGCAGUAUUUGACAAUCCCAUUAAAAAGCUUUAAUUCAUUAA